rnacentral:rRNA from 1 species
UACGAAGGGGGCUAGCGUUGCUCGGAAUUACUGGGCGUAAAGGGCGCGUAGGCGGAUAUUUAAGUCGGGGGUGAAAGCCCAGGGCUCAACCUCGGAAUUGCCUUCGAUACUGGAUAUCUUGAGUUCGGGAGAGGUGAGUGGAAUGCCGAGUGUAGAGGUGAAAUUCGUAGAUAUUCGGCGGAACACCAGUGGCGAAGGCGACUCACUGGCCCGAUACUGACGCUGAGGCGCGAAAGCGUGGGGAGCAAACAGG